rnacentral:misc_RNA from 1 species
AUUUCAGUGCCUAUAGUGACUUGUUUGCAGGGGAAAUCCGUCCAAACCUUCUAAAGGUCUCGUAUAUUUCGCUUCAGAAGGACGGAAAACCGGCAGACUCUGUGCUUGACGCAGGAUUUAACAGACUGAAAUUAUUGCAAUAAUUAUGUAUGUGGCAUAAAAAUCAUGAAAUACAUGUCAUAGUUUUAUAAACAUUUUACAUUAUGGACUGGACUUGCUGCCAGGAGUGUGGUCGUUUACAGACUGUGACCUUUGUGUACUGAAGUCAGUUGCCAUGGGAACCUAGCAGGUCCAAUCAUUACACCUUGAAUCAGCAGGACUUGGAUGGGCAGCUACAAGAACUCCUUUUAUUCUUAACCGAUUUUAAGUUUUACUGCAUUAUUUCAUUGGCAAUUUUAGUAAAUGUUUGUUUUAAUGAAAGAAAACUUUAUAAACUACUGCAUUGCU